rnacentral:rRNA from 1 species
UAAGGAAUAUUGCUCAAUGGGAGAAAUCCUGAAGCAGCAACGCCGCGUGGAGGAUGAAGGGUCUAUGACUUGUAAACUCCUGUAAAGAAGGAAAAAAUUCCCAUUUGAUGGGAGAUGAUGGUACUUCUGGAGUAAGCCCCGCCUAACUACGUGCCAGCAGCCGCGGUAAUACGUAGGGGGCAAGCGUUGUCCGGAUUUACUGGGUGUAAAGGGUGCUCAGGCGGAUUUGUAAGUCAGAGGUGAAAUCUUACAGCUUAACUGUGAAACUGCCUUUGAUACUGCAAGCCUAGAGUAUGGAAGAGAGUGAUGGAAUAUCUGGUGUAGCAGUGAAAUGCGUAGAUAUCAGAUAGAACACCAAUGGCGAAGGCAGUCACUUGGUCCAUUACUGACGCUAAAGCACGAAAGCGUGGGUAGCAAACA